AUUGAACGCUGGCGGCAGGCCUAACACAUGCCAGUCGAGCGGAUGAAGGGAGCUUGCUCCUGGAUUCAGCGGCGGACGGGUGAGUAAUGCCUAGGAAUCUGCCUGGUAGUGGGGGAUAACGUCCGGAAACGGGCGCUAAUACCGCAUACGUCCUGAGGGAGAAAGUGGGGGAUCUUCGGACCUCACGCUAUCAGAUGAGCCUAGGUCGGAUUAGCUAGUUGGUGGGGUAAAGGCCUACCAAGGCGACGAUCCGUAACUGGUCUGAGAGGAUGAUCAGUCACACUGGAACUGAGAAACGGCCAGGACUCCUACGGGAGCAGGCAGGGGGGAAUUUUGAACAAGGGGGGAAGUCUUGACCCAGCCAUGCGGGGUGUGGAAGGAAGGUCUUGGGUUUGAAAAGCAUUUUAAUUGGGGAGAAAGGAAAGUAAUUUAAUACCUCGCUGUUUUGACGUUACCAACAAAAAAAGCCCCGGCAAACUUCGUG
rnacentral:rRNA from 1 species